rnacentral:rRNA from 1 species
UACGAGGGGGGCGAGCGUUGUUCGGAAUUAUUGGGCGUAAAGGGUGCGUAGGCGGCCUGACAAGUCUGAUGUGAAAUCCCUGGGCUCAACCCAGGGCCUGCAUCGGAAACUGUCGGGCUUGAGUAUGGGAGAGGUGAGUGGAAUUUCCGGUGUAGCGGUGAAAUGCGUAGAUAUCGGAAGGAACACCUGUGGCGAAGGCGGCGACCUGGUCCGAUACUGACGCUGAGGCGCGAAAGCGUGGGGAGCAAACAGG